rnacentral:lncRNA from 1 species
AUCUCUGCGUGACUUCCGCCAGCGUUUAGAGCGUUUUCGGGGUCCGAGUUGAAGAGCAAAACCAAGUGAAGGAAACUUCACUAAGUUCAGGGUGACAAGGGAGGAAGUACAGAGACUGCACUUUAAAUUCUGGAUGACAGACCUAUCAGGACUGAGUGGACCUUUGAGUGACAAGAUGGGGGUGUUCCAAAGAGACCAUGGCAGCCUGCAGCUAGGACUUUAAUUGAACUAUUGGCAUGGCUCAAUCCAUUGACCUGUUUUGGUUCCUGAUGAAGUUUUGUUAAUUUAAAUGAGAAAAAUAAGGACAGUGAAAAACAGAGCGCUUAAAAAGCACUGUCUGGAUAUCUUCAGAGGGAAAAAGGAGAAAGUUAACUGAAUUGGUGACACUUCGGGUCUCUCACAGAGGAAGGUAAGGUUUCAGUCAACAGCACAUAGAGGAUUAUCCUCAUUUACCCAGGACUGACAGUGUUUGUGAAUUCUAAAGCUGUGCAUGUAGUGAAUAUACAAGAUAAAAUUGAAAUGAGAAUAACGGAAUAGCAUUGUAGAAAUGAUUAAAAUGUACCCAAGCCCCAAGUUUUCAGAUAACAUGAUAGUUUUCUAAUGGUGAAACUGUUUAAGAUGUAUAGUCAUAAAAAAGAUUAAAAAAAAUAAGAAACAGUUGUAUAGCCAACUUUUAAUAAUCUGUGUUAUAGACUCCAUAGCAGAUCUGAAGGUAGCUAUAUGCCAGCAGCAGAAGGUGCACCCUGGAGCACAGUUUUGUAGCAGUUCUCCAAGCUGACCAGCUGAGGACUAGUGACCCUACUUAAGAACAGUUGGCUAAGAGGAUAGUCAAGUGAGGGGAAUGUGCUACAAGAGAAUCAUAGUAGAUAGAGAUGCAAACAAAAGGGAGAGUCUUUCUUCUUGUUCCUUUCUGAUCUGUAGAACCUGCAGGCCCACUGUAGAGCUCCCAUUGGAGUACAGUGGAGCAUGAAGAGAGAAUCCUUAGGAGAGCUUGUCAAGGAAUUUGGGGGAGGAGUGUGUUUGCAAACAUGGGGGAAAGUACUUAUUAAUCAUUUAGAUGUUCUGCAGGCAGAAAGCUUACUAGUGUAGUGUGUAGGGCUGCAAGCCACCAAAGUAAUGACUACUUGAAAGAGGACCAAUAGUUUCUGAAGCUCUGUGUGAAAAGAUACAGUGGUUGGGGUGGGGUGCGGAAUCUCUAGAGCAGCUCAUACAGCCACAGGGCAAAGAGAGGGAACCCCCACACGGAAAAAAAGAUUGCAGCAGGGAUGGAGAGCUAGUAGCUUUAGGAUGACUAGACACUUCUGAAAGUGAGCACUCUGUCCUUACAGAGACCACCAAACCAACAGAAGCCACCAGGACAGCACACAGCCAUUCCAAAAUUCCAGACCAGGAUCAUUCCAGAAAAGCCUUACAUCUCAGUCCAGUAUAUGGAUGGUUUUGUAAGAUGACCUAUGAUUUUUCUGUUCCUCCUUCCUGCCCCUAACUUCAGAGAAACAGACCUAGAAAGAGGGAAGGAAGGAGUGAAAAAGCGUGCCAUACUUUAUCUUCUCCCCUUCUGUUUUAAACUAGACAAAUCUAUAUUUUAAUUAUUAUAAGUAACCAGAAAGUUAUAUGGUCUGGCCAGGAUGGCAUUAAAGAAAAUGAGAGAGAAAAGUUUAAGAUAGCAUGGUUGGAGACAAUAAGUAGAAGAAACCAAGUAGUUCAAGUUUUAUAACGCUCUAUCUUAUAAACACUCUUGAACCAAUAAUAAUGCUAUUACUGAAAUGCUACACACAAUUGAAGACUACUUGUUAGACCAAGACCUUAAAAACUUCUUUACUGAUUAUUCCCAAUGUGUGGCCCUGGUAAUCAUUGAAGAAUCAUUGUAUUGACUAUUAAACAUCUAGGGAUCACCUGUUUAAAUCAAGUUAACAAAACACUUACUUAACAAAUAUAUAUUGAUUGCCUAUUAUGAAGUAGAUGCUAUAGUAGGUGCUGGCAGUAUAAACAUGAAAAGAGACAUUGUGUGUGCAUAUUAAUAUACAGCAAAUUAAACUUCAGCCAGAGAAGUACUUUACUAGAAGGUUGAUAGAAGUGUGGUGGUAGCUUGCAGGAGGAAGCAGUUAGCCUCCUUGGAAAUGAGUAAUCUUCACAGAAAGUAUGACAUUUGACCUGCUUCUUGGAGAAGAUGCAUAUUAAACCUAUUAAAUCCAUGUCAGCCUUUAACACCUUUGCUCAGAUUAGUUUCUCGAGCUGUUUUCCCACCUGGUGAGCAGAUAAGAGCAGGACAGGAAAGUUCUGAUGAAAGGAAGAAGUGCCAGAGAGAGAAGGCCUUGCAAGCAAAGAAGCCUGACAGGCAGGAGCCCCUGAGUAUCCUAAGGAGAAGUACCAGCGAUUUAGGGAAGAAAAUUGCUGCCAGAAGUGCAGGAAAUAAAAAUUCUGACCUAGAUCAUUUUA